UAGUAAUUAUGACGGUUCAGGUAUAAGGUGAUGACGAUACCCUGGAUUAGGGUGGCCUAGCGGCAGAGGUGUUGAAAGAGAUCCUAUUCUGGAUGUAUUUUAAAAUGGGGCUGAUGGCACGUUGGGGUGUGUGGAAAACAGAAGUAACGACUGCUCUAAGCCGUGGGUUCUGCUCUGAGCCGGUGGGUUCAUGGAAGUAGCAUUCAAGACGAUGAGGAAGAUGGAGAGCAACAGGUUUUGCCCUUGAGUUUGAGAAGGCAAAGGAGUUUUGAGUUGCUUACUAGCCAUCUGCACUGGAAGGGCAGGCCUGCCAUCUUUCUAUACCCACUGCCAGCUACACCCUGCAUCACAAGGGAUGUGUGGGCACCCCAGCCUGCAUGGCCAAGCUCCAUUCACCUAGGCCACCGCUGGGGCUGGGCAUCUGCACAUUGGUGGCAUGGUCAGGAAGGGAGCAAAUGUCCACACAAAUGGCCUCAGGGCCAACUAGGUAGGGAAUUCCAGAGUCCCCUGUAACCAAAGUGUGGUCUAGGAGUGGACGCCUGGCUCUUGGCCACUGUGGUGAGGACUGUGCCUGGAGGAGGUGCAGAUCUGGGCUGUUUUGAGCAGGGGCUCAGGGCAGGAUCGUCUCUGAGGGCAGCUCAGGAGAACACAUUUAUGUGAUUCUGCAGUUUGGAGUGUGGACUAGAGAUAGGAAUUUGGGGUUGCCAAGAACUGGCCAAAAACAAAUGAGCCAUCACAGGUCUCAAGAUUUCAGAAGAUUUUAGUAUCCUCCACUGGGCCAUGGGCCUUGCCGCUGUAAUUUUGGUAGUAUUGGUCAGGUUACGAUGAAAACAAGUUUGCACCCGGCACUCCUACAUACGCAAGACGCAGUGGCAGAUGGAUGAAAAAACGGUUGUUUUAAGAUUGGUGAAAUCCCACCUCUUUGUCUCUUAGGCCCCUGGGAAGCACUUUGCAGGUUAGCUUGAUGAGAUGUGAUGAUUUUCUGGCAGAGGAUUCAGCUAACCUUUUGAUCAGAUGACAACCCAGACUGGAUGUAGAGCUAGUGAGUGUACCUCUCUGAGCGUGGGGCGUGCUGGUCUCGGGAUGCUUCAUCCUGUUCAUGCCAGGGCAGGAGGCCUUGCACAGUGUUUCUAGCCAAGCCUUGUAUCCAGACACAGCUCCUUUCAUAAGUAUUUUCACAAGUGUUCCUAGCAUUCUGUAUGCGAAUUAACAAAUCCCCUGAUGGAGAUUUAGAUAGCCAUAUCCUUAACUUAUUGUGUUAAUCACUCCAUCGUGAAUUAUGUGAAAGUAGGUGACAGAUAAUAUAACGGGACUCAUCAAUAUUUACAGGUGGUAUUUUAAACUGAGGGGCAGGGUUGGAUUGAACCCUGGGGCACUCAAAACAUUUGGAAGUUAGGAAGAACGGCCGAAUCAAGAGACUGAAGAGAAUUACGGAGAAGAAAAACAUAAGUAACACAGUUUCAAGAAGAGAAGCCUCACCAACCACAUCAAAUUCUGUGUAAAUGUUGAGUAGGACAAACCAGACAACAGCCCGUUGGAUUUGGCUCCAUGGAAGCAUUCGUGACAUCCGGGAGUGGAGGGGAUGGGAUUCUGCUGGAAUGGCUUAGCGGGAGAAGGGGAAGGGAGAAAAUGGAGACAGCAAACGGGAUGUUCCCCAGGUUUACAGAGAAACGGGGGAGACUGAUGGGAGACAGACACGUGUCCAUGUGCUGAUGGAAAUGACCCAGGAGAAUAAGUGACAGUGCGGGGUCGGCCUUUACAGGAGAAAUAUGAAAGCCAUUGUCACUGUGUGUCUGCUUUUCCACAGCUACUUGUUUGUGUAUUGUAUUUGCUCAGUUCACACAUCAACAAUCAUUGCUUGAAGGGUUGAGUGAGUUUAAUGGGGAUGCUUGUAAUCACUCCCCCUAAUAAACAUCUCUUCC